rnacentral:tRNA from 1 species
AGGGGAUUAGUAUAAGGGUAGUACAGCGGUCUCCAAAACCGUUAGUCUGGGUUCGAAUCCUGGAUCCCCUGCCA